UGUUUUGUAAGAAUAAACGCUGCCAGAAACGUGACAAUUCUCCUUCUUACUAUUUGUAGCAAAUAUAAAAAAAAUUUCUUUCAGCUACUUCUUUUGAGAGAAGCAAAGCAAGAAAUUACUGUCGUGAUGUCAAGUGCCUAACUAUGGAGCAAUCUGUUAAUACAAAGAAGACACACCAGUAUAAAACAGUGCGGAAGACUUACUUGUCUUGGGACAAUAAGCAAAAUCUGACAUCAGGAUCAGAGCUCCUCUUGUGCCUCCACUGUACAGUCUGGAACAGAUUCAACUUCAGUAAUUCUAAGAGGCAAAAGGCAAAUGUUUCUGCAUCAGCAUGCUACUAACGGAAACCUCAUUGUAUUAUGGUCGGAAAAAAAAACAAAACUAUAUUCAGUUACCAGGAGAUGCAUCAGUACAAAAAUUAAUGCAAAUUUUUGUUACGAUGUGAGGAUCUUCAUUUUGCUCAACUAAAAAGAAGUCAGUAAAUUAAAUUAUGUAUUUUUACUCUUCAAAGAACAAAAGCAGGAAAAAUUCACAGUAACAGAAUAAAAUGUUUGUAAAGUUUUUGCUGCACAGCUUAAACACGAUCAACCAGCUUUUUCAGUUGCAUAUACUGCUUACAACCACAGAGACAUGCAUGGAGCUUAAAAUUUAGUUCAAAAGACAACUUUAAAGAAACCAGGAAAUUGGAGAAGAGAUGAAAUUCUGCAAUACUGAGAGAAAAACUCUUACUAUAUUCAUUACGCAGUAUGAAAAAACUCUACCUGCCACACUCAUUUCCUUUAUCAUGUGUUCAAUUAGACUGUGACGCCUUAUUCAUUCUCAAUUGCACCGCACUCCCUUCACUAGCCUCAAGUUUUAACACAGCCCAUUUACAGUACCACAACUCAUGCCAAUGCAAACCACUAGUAUUUCUUCUUUUGGGUGAAGGCCCCACCACUGUUGGGUGGCAAUUGUGCACUGGUCAGACAUCACCAGACAGGCCAGUCCCUACAUCCAAACAGGGCUAUGGAUGACAGGAAUUCAUGACUUCCUUCCUAGCUAAGAGUAAGAAAUGCAGUGAUAGAAAUGGACACCUCAACCAUCUGUACUACAUGGGUACAAAUUCUAGCAGUGACACAGAAACCCAAACACUGAGCACUAAAGAAAAAUAUAUUAUUUUCAUAUUGUUACACAACAUAGAGAUGCAAAGAAAAACAAUAGAAUUGAGCUCAGAUAUUUCAGAAACCUGGGAAGGGCUCCUGGUUAAAGUCUUUUAAUUUCCAUGAGGUAGAAAAUCAUCAAGUAUCUUCUUUCCCAGAAUAUAUUAAGCAGGACAAAUCUAGUUUAGUUUUUAAUGCUGUUGAAAAUUCUUUUGAUAGCAGUUCAUGAAGGGAUACUCUGUCAUGAGAAUACACCCAGUUCCGUCCUGUCCAGUCAUAGCGCUUGGGCCCACUGGAAAACAAAACACACAAAAUUUAAGUACAGAUUAUUGCUGGGGGGCUGCUGGGAGCAGUAUGCAUACUGCAACCUGGUGAAUACCCAGGAAAAGAAAAUAGACUGCAUGGAGAAAGAUGGGUGGGCAGUGUGGGGAAGUGAAACAGGAACGGCCAGGCCUGCCAGGAGCUGCUGAGCCAUCCUACAGAUGUAUCUGAAAGAUGACAAGAUGUAUCAGUCAUUCCUGGCAGGCAUGAACUCCUUCCCCUACUUCUUUCUGCACCGAGUUUCUUCCCCUACCCUCUUUUUCCCUCACCCACAUAAUUCUGUUACACGCAAGCAUUAAAAAGAAUAUUUGUAAACAGCUGAAUCAAUGCUGUUUAUUAAUUGUUACAGCAGUAUUACAUGCAGAUACACUAAACACAGAGCAGAACACAGACCAAAAUUCUCACUUUCCUUUCCAAUGAAAUAAAGUCAUUUGCUAACUGAAAGCAAAGAUAUUCCCAGGUUGGAGAUUUGACUUUAAAAGCCUAAUGUCCUCUGUGUGGUCAUAAAAUUGCUGGCAGGUGAACUUGAUCCUUCCAGCCUACGUUUACGUAUCAAGAAAGAAACUCAAACAAACUGGAUUCCACUCCAGACCUUCCUACACACUUAAUUCUCCACUUGUAAAACAGGAGCAAUGAUAGAAAGGCACUCAGUGCUGUUAACAUUGGUUAGAGAAGCUAAGAAAAGAGAAAGGAACGAAGUGCUUGGCACAGCAGGGGGGUACAGGUGACCCAUUCUUCUUGCUUGCACUUCCAGGAAAAAAUGCCUUAGAAGUGGGACCAGCCAAUUAUCAUGACCUCUAGGAGACAGACCACCCCCUUGUCCACAAACAACAAAAGCACUAGCUGAACGUCGAAUAUCCUGAAUUAUUCACAAUAUUCAAAGGAGUAACUUUCAAACCACUAACCCAACUAUCAGAAGUCACAAAUGCAAAAGUAAAUCAAAAUGACUAUCAGCUUCCACUGAAAUCUCACCUGCUGUAUGUGAACUGAUAACUGUUUUGAAUCGAGAUUAUGUCUCCAGUUACUUUAUUAUGCAUUUCUUACUCUGUCCUUGCAACAAAAAACAUGUUUUCACUGUCCUACUCCUAGAAAAUGACAGAAUGGGCUGAAACUACGAAAGAAAGUGAAGCUAAGACAGGCCAUUUAAUCAACACAUAUAAUGAAAAAAAUGCAGUAAUAAGACAUGUGAACUGUUUUUGAACAUUAUUUAGUAACUAUCAGUGAUAUGAUCAACAUAUUAAAUAACUUAGUUGUCUGGAUCUUCAAAAUGGUGUACAGAUAUGAUGUCAUUUAAAUUUAUCAUGUCAGCAAGGAUCUUCUGUACUCUAACAAAUGCCUACAAAGGUUAAAUAUAGAAUAAAUAUA